rnacentral:misc_RNA from 1 species
ACCCAUGAUUACGACGUCAAGAUGCGCUCGGUGAUGAAGUUUCUGGAAGAGGGCGACAAGGUCAAGAUCACGCUCCGCUUCCGCGGCCGCGAGAUGGCCCACCAGCAGCUCGGGAUCGAGCUUCUGAACCGCGUCCGCGACGACGUGGGCGAGGCGGGCAAGGUCGAAUCGAUGCCGAAGCUCGAGGGCCGGCAGAUGGUGAUGAUGAUCGCACCGCGCUGAGCCGCGGAUCGCGCGAAACGCUGAGCGGCCUGCCCUUCGGGCGGGCCGUUUCUCUGUCGGGGGGACGA